rnacentral:lncRNA from 1 species
AAGACGGCAAGCCAUAUCAUCGUUUUUGUAAUUUUUUAGUUUGUAAUUUUUUUUUUUUUUGCUGUUUCAUUUAUUUGUUAGAUUUUUUUCUAAUGAGAGAGCAUCCAAGAACCAGAUGGAGCUUUGAUCCUCUCUUAUUUAAAAGUCUUUUUUUUUUGUUUGAAAAACCUUUUAUUUUAAGGGUUUUUUGCAAGAUUGACUCAAAACUCAAAGUCAAACCUAAAACUAAUCCAUGCUUUUCUUGGAUUUUUCUUUUGUUAUAUUC